UAGGAAAAUUCACAAGGGCACCCUGCAAACGAGCUACACCAGAGCUGUGCCAAAUGCAACCACGAAAGAGCUUGGGGGUGCUGCACCCCAAUCCAGCAGGAAGUUUUCAUAGUAGAGCAUCUUGGCUUGGGAGAAGAGGGAGAGGAGGAGGAAGGGAACUGGGCACCUCUUGAGAAUCAAGAUAAGGACCUACCACCUAAUGGUUUAUGGUAGGCAUUCAAUAAUGUUUGUGGAAGGAAGAAACCAUCAGACAAAUUGAAACCCCAGAGGAUGGAAGCUGGGCAACUGGUUAAUUACUCCUGCCCGCCCCCGCCCCAGAAUGUCUGUCAUAACCUAGUUAAGAUUUCUUUUUUUUUU